rnacentral:rRNA from 1 species
CCUACGGGUGGCUGCAGUGGGGGAUAUUGCACAAUGGGGGGAACCCUGAUGCAGCGACGCCGCGUGAGCGAUGGAGUACUUCGGUAUGUAAAGCUCUGUCAGCCGGGAAGAAAAUGACGCUACCUGACCAAGAAGCCCCGGCUAAAUACGUGCCAGCAGCAGCGGUAAUACGUAUGGGGCAAGCGUUAUCCGGAUUUACUGGGUGUAUAGGGAGCGUAGGCGGCAGGGCAAGCCUGAUGGGAAAGCCCGGGGCUCAACCCCGGGACUGCAGUGGGAACUGGCCUGCUGGAGUGCGGGAGGGGCAGGCGGAAUUCGUAGUGUAGCGGUGAAAUGCGUAGAUAUUAGGAGGAACACCAGUGGCGAAGGCGGCAUGCUGGACGGUGACUGACGCUGAGGCUCGAAAGCGUGGGGAGCAAACAGGAUUAGAUACCCGAGUAGUC